UAUUUACCUGUCAGUAUGGCACUUAGGAGUUUGGUUAGCUGAAGGGAAUUGGAAAAUAAUAUGGCUUAUGUACAAACACCCUGGAAAAACAAACUACAAAGAGUGGGCUUCAAGAGGCUCUUUGAGUGGAAUGGGGAGGCAGUUAGUUAUAUGCGACAAUCGGAAAGGUGACCCAUCACACAACCCUGUCAUUCAGGUAUUUGUGUUACUUUAGAAUGUUGUCUCAGAACAUGGGACCCAGGGCAGAAAAUAAAGGUAGCAAUCACACUCUCAGGGAAGACUGUCUUGCCUGAGAAACUAACAUCUUCUGACACUAUAUUGUGCCUAAAUGGCGCUGCAGACCGAAGCCACUCUGUUCACAGUUCACUCACACAGGUGUCACCGCAUUCCUGGCUCCACGAGGAAAAGACUAUUCACAGGAGGGUGUGUUUUUGCACCCUGGUGUCUGGCGCUGCGUUCCCCUAUCAACCCUGGUUAUUUUGGAAACAUUCUCCCCCAUUACUUUUUACUACACCGACAUAAACCUUUAUCUCCCUGAUUAUUUCAUCUUAGAAAGAAGAACGGAAGUUCCUCUCCUCCAGGAAAUGUAGAAGAGAUCUGGAAGGGUCAGGCACGACCCGGAACGGAAAAGUCCUACCAAAAAAAAAUCCAAGUCCGUCAAAUCUGGUUGGAAGCCAUUCCUUCGUCCUGUCGUGCCCAGGUGGCCUUUCCACGCAUCCAGGGGGCGCCGAGGCGAACCGACACCUGCGGUGGCAUCCCCGGUGGCUCGGUCACUCUCCCCGGGAACCCAGCGCUUCAAGUCUGACACCAGCAGCAGCAGGAAGAGGAGGCAGGAGAGUCCCCAUGGCUCUGUCAGAGAUGCCAGCUGACCUCCCGACAGGAAGAAACCUGUCAAUUUGUGGGGUCUCAAUUCCACUCUCAACUGCUUAGAUGGGGAGAAGAAAGGACAUUUUAUCAACAAUAAAUCGCAAGUCUUGUGCUAUGGACAAUGCCAUUACUCAGCUGAGGGACAAACAGAUUCGUGACCAAGCUGGUUCACAUGUAGACAGUGGAUGUUUUCUUGCAGCAUACAAUUUCAAAGGAAUAAAAAGUCUCACACUCGACCGUGGCAGCAAAAGUAGCUACCACAGUUAAUUAAUCUUUCAUUCUA